ensembl:lncRNA
AAGUCACCUUGAUCAAAAAAGAAAAGAGGCAAAAGAAAGGUCAUCAAAAGCUGUUCUUUUCUCUGGGUGAAUGAUAACAGUGGGCGGGCCUAAUCUGAGGUCUGGUCAAAUCAGAAGAGAUCUGACUCUUCCCUCCGAGAGCCUUUUUUCACUGAUGAAAGAUCUUUGGUUUAUAAACAAUGCUACUUGGGCAUAGUGUCCUGACCCAGAGCAGCCAAAAAGGACAAAGCAAAAAUGGAAUGAUAUCCUGGAUGAAGUAUGCAUCUCUCCUCACCCACUGAUGAUCUGCUGUAUCUGCUGGGUUUAUUCCUAGCAUGCUCACUCCUCUCUGUGCUGAGGAAAAAAAGAAUUUGGAAGAAACCUACAUGGCCCCC